rnacentral:misc_RNA from 1 species
GGUCAAAUUCUGCAGAGGCAGUUUCAGGGUAUCUGGAUUGGGGCUGAGUUUUGGUCCUCUUGCUUUAGUCUUUUGGGCAUGGUUUCUUCAGCAAAAAUGUGCCAUUAUAAGCCUAGUUUCAUGUCCAAUUGGCCAAACACCAAUUGGACUAACACAGCCCAAGUUAUGGCAGUGCAAAGGGACUGAAAUUUCAGUCCCUAUGCUGCUGUCAUAGGGCAGUUUAUACCUUGACUUUGCCAUACCAUUUUUCAGUCCAAAUUGUAUUCAACAUACCUCAAAUGGUCACUUAUUGACCAUUAGAUUGUUCUUUAAUAGUUUAGUAAGUCAAGUCAAUUUUUCAUGCCUCAAAACCCUAAUAUCCAAUGCAAUUUACCAUAAACCUCAAUUAGCACCCUAGUUCAACAUCUAUAUAGGUAUAUAGCUUAAACAUAACCUCCAAUUCAUGCUAAGUCCAUUAAAAACAUCCAAACCCAUUCCUCUAUUAGGGCUGCUGAAUUCUUUGGUGGAGAUACACAUUGAAUUUGUUUCAUUAUUUCACAAUUUCUAAUUCAUUACAAGCCUAAAUCAUGGAAUUAAUGUAUUUUAACUACAUAUAUGCACUAACCUUGUUUGGGCAGAAUUUCCAAAGCUCUAAACCUCACUUUUCUUCCUUUCCUUGGCUGCCAAAAGCUUCCUUAGGAUGUGUAGAUAAAUUUUGGUGAAGGUGACUUAGGAUUUUAAGGUUGGUUUUUGGGAGGAUUCAAGCUCAAUUUGAGCAACAAUGGAGGUUUGGCUAAGGGCAAGGGUCACGGUUGCAAGAGAAUGAGGAGGAAGGCUGAUGGGUUUUGUGGUUAUUUAGUCUUCAUUUUGUCUUUUUAUUUGUUAGUCAAUUGGUGGCUUAAUUUGUGAUUGGUCAAAAUUUUUAAAUGAUGUCAUUUUUGCAUUAUUUUGCAUUUUCUUUUCUUUUCUUUCACUAAUCAUUUCAAAUUUCAUUUCUAGUAAUAUUUUUUCAUAUUUUAUGUCAUAUUAAUU